CGAGGCCAGGCUCGGUCUGCUUUCCUUAUCACUAACUGGGAGCGGAAUAUGGACAGGCACUGCAAAUGGUGGCUGUGUGUGCCGGGGCGAAGAAAGCGGAGCGACCCAAGUUCUUGACAGGAAGCAACAAAGGGCGAGCCGUUGGAGGACGGGUGGAGUGCCACUAUGAGCAAUGUUGGAAAGCCAGC